GGCUCAGGAUGAACGCUAGCGAUAGGCCUAACACAUGCAAGUCGAGGGGCAGCGAUGGUAGCAAUACCAGUCGGCGACCGGCGGAUGGGUGAGUAACACGUAUGCAACCUGCCUUCAACAUUGGAAUAACCCGUUGAAAGACGGACUAAUGCCUUAUAACACAGGGGCGCCGCAUGGCGAUAUUUGUUAAAGAUUUUAUCGGUUGAAGAUGGGCAUGCGCAUGAUUAGUUAGUUGGUAAGGUAACGGCUUACCAAGACAACGAUCAUUAGGGGUUCUGAGAGGAAGGUCCCCCACACUGGUACUGAGACACGGACCAGACUCCUACGGGAGGCAGCAGUGAGGAAUAUUGGUCAAUGAGCGAGAGCUUGAACCAGCCACGUCGCGUGCAGGAAGAAUGUCUUAUGGAUUGUAAACUGCUUUUUCGGUAGAGUAAUGUGCGUCACGUGUGACGUAUUGCAAGUAUACCGAGAAUAAGGAUCGGCUAACUCCGUGCCAGCAGCCGCGGUAAUACGGAGGAUCCGAGCGUUAUCCGGAUUUAUUGGGUUUAAAGGGUACGUAGGCGGGAUGAUAAGUCAGCGGCGAAAUUUUGCAGCUUAACUGUAAGCUUGCCGUUGAAACUAUUAUUCU
rnacentral:rRNA from 1 species